UCCCUUAGUAGCGGCGAGCGAACAGGGAAGAGCCCAGCGCCGAAUUCCGCGUCUCAAAGGGCGUUUGGAACAUGUGGCGUUUAGGAGGAAUCUCUCCGAGGGCAGACGGUGUCGCAAGUCCCCCUGAACGGGGCUGUGAUCCAGAGCGGGUGCGAGGCCCAUAGCUGGUACCGUCUCCUUUGGGUGUCCCCUCCUUGGAGUCGGGUUGCUUGGGAGUGCAGCCCUAAUUGGGUGGUAAACUCCACCUAAGGCUAAAUACGUCCGUGAGACCGAUAGCAAACAAGUACCGUGAGGGAAAGUUGCAAAGAACUUUGAAGAGAGAGUUCAAGAGUACGUGAAACCGCUCAGAGGCAAACGGGUGGGCCCACGAAAGCCGAAGGCGGGGGGAUUCAGUCGAGAGGACGGUGGGGCAGGACUGGCUGGUUGGACGGACCGUGCCAGGCCGGGUCAGUUCCCGAGAUCUGCCGCCUUUCGACGCAUUUCCCCCUGCUUAGUAGGACGCCGCAACCGGUUGGCGCUGCAGCCAUAAGGGAGAGUAAAUGGAAGGUAGCCAGUGAGUUCUUCUUCGGAGGCGCGAGCUGGUCCUAAGCCGACUCUCCUGGUGCUUGUGGCCCGACCGUGGUCGUGAGUCCCUCAACGGGAUGUYGCCGAGCCCUCUGACUGGAGCGGGAGAAGUGGCAGGCUGCUUUCCGCGGAAAAAAUCGAUCGCUUCACGCGUGCAGUGGGCGAUCUCCGGAGGUAGCUGCUGGUGCGUUUUUCUCCUGCGCUGGGCACAGGCAGUUGGCGGCGAGUAGGUCGGUCACCCACCCGACCCGUCUUGAAACACGGACCAAGGAGUCUAACAUGUGCGCGAGUCAUUGGGUCUUGAACAAGCCCAAAGGCGCAAUGAAAGUGAAGACCAGCACUGAAGCUGGUGGAGUUGGGAAACUGUGUCACUGAAGAUGCAGUUGCACCAACGGCCCGUCCCGUCCGCAUUGUCGGUGGGGCGGAGCGAGAGCGUACACGUUGGGACCCGAAAGAUGGUGAACUAUGCCUGGGCAGGACGAAGCCAGAGGAAACUCUGGUGGAGGUCCG
rnacentral:rRNA from 1 species